UAAGGAAUAUUGGUCAAUGGACGCAAGUCUGAACCAGCCAUGCCGCGUGAAGGAUGAAGGUCCUCUGGAUUGUAAACUUCUUUUAUCUGGGACGAAAACGGGAUUUUUAUCUCAAUUGACGGUACCAGAGGAAUAAGCACCGGCUAACUCCGUGCCAGCAGCCGCGGUAAUACGGAGGGUGCGAGCGUUGUUCGGAUUCACUGGGCGUAAAGGGUGCGUAGGUGGUGGGGUAAGUCGGAUGUGAAAUCUCGGAGCUCAACUCCGAAAUGGCAUUGGAAACUACCCUGCUAGAGGGUCGGAGGGGGGACUGGAAUUCUCGGUGUAGCAGUGAAAUGCGUAGAUAUCGAGAGGAACACCAGUGGCGAAGGCGAGUCCCUGGACGACUCCUGACACUGAGGCACGAAAGCUAGGGGAGCAAACA
rnacentral:rRNA from 1 species